ACUCAAAGGAAUAGACGGGGGCUUGCACAAGCGGUGGAGCGUGUGGCUUAAUUCGUCGCUAAGCGAAGAACCUUACCAGGGCUAGAAAUCCUACUGCACGCCUAGCGAAAGCUAGGAAGCCUUCGAGGGUGUAGGACAGGUGAUGCAUGGCUGUCGUCAGUUCGUGGUUUGAACCGUUCCCUUCAGUGGGGUAACGAACGCAACCCUCGUUGCCUGUUACAAGUGUCAGGCGAGACUGCCCCCUCACGGGGGAGGAAGGUGAGGAUGACGCCAAGUCAGCAUGUCCCUCUGAUGUCCUGGGCUGCACACGCGCUACAAUCGCCACUACAAAAGGGCGCAAUGGGGUAACCCGGAGCAAAUCCAGAAAAGUGGCGCCAGUUCGGAUUGAGGUCUGCAACUCGACCUCAUGAAGCCGGAAUCGCUAGUAAUCGUGGGUCAGCACACCACGGUGAAUACGUUCUCAAGCCUUGUACACACCGCCCGU
rnacentral:rRNA from 1 species